rnacentral:rRNA from 1 species
AACGAACGCUGGCGGCAUGCCUAACACAUGCAAGUCGAACGAGACCUUCGGGUCUAGUGGCGCACGGGUGCGUAACGCGUGGGAACCUGCCCUUAGGUUCGGAAUAACUCCCCGAAAGGGGUGCUAAUACCGGAUAAUGUCUUCGGACCAAAGAUUUAUCGCCUUUGGAUGGGCCCGCGUUGGAUUAGCUAGUUGGUAAGGUAAAAGCCUACCAAGGCUACGAUCCAUAACUGGUCUGAGAGGAUGAUCAGCCACACUGGGACUGAGACACGGCCCAGACUCCUACGGGAGGCAGCAGUGGGGAAUAUUGGACGAUGGGCGAAAGCCUGAUCCAGCAAUGCCGCGUGAGUGAUGAAGGCCUGAGGGUUGUAAAGCUCUUUUACCCGGGAUGAUAAUGACAGUACCGGGAGAAUAAGCUCCGGCUAACUCCGUG